GCCCCGGUAGUCUAGUCUGGUCUAGGAUGCGGGCCUGUCGAGCCCGUGACCCGGGUUCAAAUCCCGGCCGGGGCGCCA
rnacentral:tRNA from 1 species